GAUUAUGGCUCAGAACGAACGCUGGCGGCGCGUUUAAGCAUGCAAGUCGAGCGGCAAGGGCCUUCGGGCCCCUAGAGCGGCGGACGGGUGAGUAACACGUGGACAAUCUGCCCCCCGGCCCGGGAUAGCCCAGGGAAACCUGGAUUAAUACCGGAUGAGACGGGACCCGCGAUGGCGGGAUCCGGGAAAGGCGCUGCGGCGCCGCCGGGGGAUGAGUCUGCGUCCCAUUAGCUAGACGGCGGGGUAACGGCCCACCGUGGCGACGAUGGGUAGCCGGCCUGAGAGGGUGGACGGCCACAUUGGAACUGAGACACGGUCCAGACUCCUACGGGAGGCAGCAGCUAAGAAUCUUCCGCAAUGGGCGAAAGCCUGACGGAAGCGACGCCGCGUGAACGAAGAAGGCCGUGAGGUUGUAAAGUUCUUUUCGGGAGGGGGAACAACCGUGGCAGGGAAUGGCCGCGGGAUGACGUGAAUCCCGGAAUAAGCCCCGGCUAACUACGUGCCAGCCGCCGC
rnacentral:rRNA from 1 species